rnacentral:rRNA from 1 species
AGGCACUGGGGGCCUACGGGAGGCAGCAGUGGGGAAUAUUGCUCAGUGGGGCGCAAGCCUGAUGCAGCGACGCCGCGUGAAGGAAGAAGGUCUUCGGAUUGUAAACUUCUAUCAGCAGGGAAGAAAAAAUGACGGUACCUGACUAAGAAGUUCCGGCUAAUCUACGUGCCAGCAGCCGCGGUAAUAA